rnacentral:rRNA from 1 species
AGCCUGAAUCAGUGUGUGUGUUAGUGGAAGCGUCUGGAAAGGCGCGUGAUACAGGGUGACAGCCCCGUACACAAAAAUGCACAUGCUGUGAGCUCGAUGAGUAGGGCGGGACACGUGGUAUCCUGUCUGAAUAUGGGGGGACCAUCCUCCAAGGCUAAAUACUCCUGACUGACCGAUAGUGAACCAGUACCGUGAGGGAAAGGCGAAAAGAACCCCGGCGAGGGGAGUGAAAAAGAACCUGAAACCGUGUACGUACAAGCAGUGGGAGCACGCUUAGGCGUGUGACUGCGUACCUUUUGUAUAAUGGGUCAGCGACUUAUAUUCUGUAGCAAGGUUAACCGAAUAGGGGAGCCGAAGGGAAACCGAGUCUUAACUGGGCGUUAAGUUGCAGGGUAUAGACCCGAAACCCGGUGAUCUAGCCAUGGGCAGGUUGAAGGUUGGGUAACACUAACUGGAGGACCGAACCGACUAAUGUUGAAAAAUUAGCGGAUGACUUGUGGCUGGGGGUGAAAGGCCAAUCAAACCGGGAGAUAGCUGGUUCUCCCCGAAAGCUAUUUAGGUAGCGCCUCGUGAAUUCAUCUCCGGGGGUAGAGCACUGUUUCGGCAAGGGGGUCAUCCCGACUUACCAACCCGAUGCAAACUGCGAAUACCGGAGAAUGUUAUCACGGGAGACACACGGCGGGUGCUAACGUCCGUCGUGAAGAGGGAAACAACCCAGACCGCCAGCUAAGGUCCCAAAGUCAUGGUUAAGUGGGAAACGAUGUGGGAAGGCCCAGACAGCCAGGAUGUUGGCUUAGAAGCAGCCAUCAUUUAAAGAAAGCGUAAUAGCUCACUGGUCGAGUCGGCCUGCGCGGAAGAUGUAACGGGGCUAAACCAUGCACCGAAGCUGCGGCAGCGACGCUUAUGCGUUGUUGGGUAGGGGAGCGUUCUGUAAGCCUGUGAAGGUGUACUGUGAGGUAUGCUGGAGGUAUCAGAAGUGCGAAUGCUGACAUAAGUAACGAUAAAGCGGGUGAAAAGCCCGCUCGCCGGAAGACCAAGGGUUCCUGUCCAACGUUAAUCGGGGCAGGGUGAGUCGACCCCUAAGGCGAGGCCGAAAGGCGUAGUCGAUGGGAAACAGGUUAAUAUUCCUGUACUUGGUGUUACUGCGAAGGGGGGACGGAGAAGGCUAUGUUGGCCGGGCGACGGUUGUCCCGGUUUAAGCGUGUAGGCUGGUUUUCCAGGCAAAUCCGGAAAAUCAAGGCUGAGGCGUGAUGACGAGGCACUACGGUGCUGAAGCAACAAAUGCCCUGCUUCCAGGAAAAGCCUCUAAGCAUCAGGUAACAUCAAAUCGUACCCCAAACCGACACAGGUGGUCAGGUAGAGAAUACCAAGGCGCUUGAGAGAACUCGGGUGAAGGAACUAGGCAAAAUGGUGCCGUAACUUCGGGAGAAGGCACGCUGAUAUGUAGGUGAAGUCCCUCGCGGAUGGAGCUGAAAUCAGUCGAAGAUACCAGCUGGCUGCAACUGUUUAUUAAAAACACAGCACUGUGCAAACACGAAAGUGGACGUAUACGGUGUGACGCCUGCCCGGUGC